GUAGAUAUAGUUUAACAAAAACCCUAGAUUGUGAAUCUAGAGAUAGAAAGCCAAACAUUCUUAUCUACC
rnacentral:tRNA from 1 species